AGUAGGAACGGCCGGGUCGUAACCUAACGGUACCGGUACCGUAAGGAGCCGCCUAGGGUAAAACUGGUGACUGGGGCU
rnacentral:rRNA from 1 species